GCGGCGCUGACGUCGUCGUCGGCUUCAAUCUCUCAAAGCCGCGGCCUUUUAAAGAAGCGCGACGGUAACGCAAAACAACCCCAUCGUCGCUCCUACGCUAUCCGAUUCGGCGGCGAAUUUGAUCGAUUCGGCCAAGAAGUUUUGGGGUAGGCAUGGUUUUGGUGGAUGCGUGCUCCUUCACAAGCACCUACUUUUAGCUUUCAUGGGAACAGUUGUUGUUUGGGACUCCUUGCUGAAACCAGAUCAAGUUCAGAAAGAACAUUGAAGUCACCCUUAAAAAGAGAUCAAUCUUUAAUAGGUUGGGGAAGCCAGUGGUCAUCAAGUUCUAGAGAAAUGGAAAAUAAUGUCAACAACAUCAGCUUGCUUGAUACCCACCACCCUUCAACUCCCAUAUCUGCUUGCAAGGACAUCAAGGCUGCAGUGAUCAAUACAAACAACCAUUCCUUUGUCAAUCAAGGUGCUAUAACUUGGAAUGAGAUGAGACGAGAAUGGUUAGGAGACAGUUCAAAAAGGUGGAGAAGACGGAGUGAACCAUCAAUUAGCUGGCUCUCAACGUAUGAUGAUUUGCUAUCGACGACUCAACCUUUCCCACAGGCCAUUCCAUUAUGGGAAAUGGUAGAUUUUUUAGUUGAUAUCUGGCAUGAAGAAGGGCUUUACGACUAGGUGACGAUACCAUACCAUACCUAGCAGAAUUUGAACAAAUGAAUAGUAUUGUCAGCUCGGAAGCUCAUUAGACUUGGCAACUGGAGAUUUUUAUUGAUGUACUUGGGGAAAUCCAUGCGGGUAAGACAGUUCCAUGACAACUCUAUCGGACAACACUCUCCUUGCGGGCCUUGCUCGAGCUCUGUUGAUCACAACUACUCUAGUCCAUCGAAGGAUCCUUAUCGAGCGGACCACCUUUGACCACAACCUCCUUCCACUUCUAAUCUUGCACAGACUUGAUCGUCGGAAGAGUCACGCUGAUCAUGCUAGUGCCGAUUGACUUGCAGGAGAUUGACGUCUGAUCGGCUAGAGGAACCAUGCCGUCUUGGCUUGGCUUCAAAGAGAGGAAGAGGAGCUGUUUGUGCACGUCCGGAAGGGCACCAUCAUUAAGGAAACAAGUUAUUAGCAUAUUUCACAAAACCUUAUCAUCUUAAUCAUACUAUUUUUUUUUGAAAGAUUUUCAUGCACUUCAUUUUAUUUUUUCAUUGACAUGAGAUUUUCAUCCUUUAGAUGGAAAUCUGCGAUACUUUUAGCCAUCACAGAAUAUUAUUAGU